rnacentral:rRNA from 1 species
UUGAGUUUGAUCCUGGCUCAGGACGAACGCUGGCGGCGUGCCUAACACAUGCAAGUCGAGCGGAGAUUAGCGAAUAAUUAUAUUAUUUGCGAAGUCUUAGCGGCGGACGGGUGAGUAACGCGUGAGUAACCUACCUGUCAGAGGGGGAUAACACAUCGAAAGGUGUGCUAAUACCGCAUAACGUAUAUAUAACGCAUGUUGUAUAUACCAAAGGGAAUAACCGCUGACAGAUGGACUCGCGUCCCAUUAGCUAGUUGGUAGGGUAACGGCCUACCAAGGCGACGAUGGGUAGCCGACCUGAGAGGGUGGACGGCCACAUUGGGACUGAGACACGGCCCAGACUCCUACGGGAGGCAGCAGUGGGGAAUAUUGCGCAAUGGGGGGAACCCUGACGCAGCAACGCCGCGUGAAGGAAGAAGGCCUUCGGGUCGUAAACUUUUGUCUUCUGGGAAGAAAGAUGACGGUACCAGAGGAGGAAGCCACGGCUAACUACGUGCCAGCAGCCGCGGUAAUACGUAGGUGGCGAGCGUUGUCCGGAAUUACUGGGUGUAAAGGGUGCGUAGGCGGGUAUAUAAGUCAGAUGUGAAAUACCGAGGCUUAACCUCGGGGCUGCAUUUGAAACUAUAUAUCUUGAGUGCAGGAGAGGAAAGCGGAAUUCCUAGUGUAGCGGUGAAAUGCGUAGAGAUUAGGAGGAACACCAGUGGCGAAGGCGGCUUUCUGGACUGCAACUGACGCUGAGGCACGAAAGCGUGGGGAGCGAACAGGAUUAGAUACCCUGGUAGUCCACGCCGUAAACGAUGGAUACUAGGUGUAGGAGGUAUCGACCCCUUCUGUGCCGGAGUUAACACAAUAAGUAUCCCACCUGGGGAGUACGACCGCAAGGUUGAAACUCAAAGGAAUUGACGGGGGCCCGCACAAGCAGUGGAGUAUGUGGUUUAAUUCGAAGCAACGCGAAGAACCUUACCAGGGCUUGACAUCCGCAGGAUUCUGUAGAGAUACGGAAGUGCCAUUUUGGAACUGCGUGACAGGUGGUGCAUGGUUGUCGUCAGCUCGUGUCGUGAGAUGUUGGGUUAAGUCCCGCAACGAGCGCAACCCUUGUCUUUAGUUGCCAUCAGGUAAUGCUGGGCACUCUAGAGAGACUGCCGGUGACAAACCGGAGGAAGGUGGGGAUGACGUCAAAUCAUCAUGCCCUUUAUGUCCUGGGCUACACACGUGCUACAAUGGCCGGUACAACGGGCUGCGAGCUCGUAAGAGUGAGCGAAUCCCAAUAAGCCGGUCCCAGUUCGGAUUGUGGGCUGCAACUCGCCCACAUGAAGUCGGAGUUGCUAGUAAUCGCGAAUCAGCAUGUCGCGGUGAAUGCGUUCCCGGGCCUUGUACACACCGCCCGUCACACCAUGGGAGUUGGUAAUACCCGAAGCCAGUGAGCUAACCUUUUGGGGGCAGCUGUCGAAGGUAGGACCGAUGACUGGGGUGAAGUCGUAACAAGGUAACCGUA